CGACUACAGUCAGAGUUUGAUCCUGGCUCAGGAUGAACGCUGACAGAAUGCUUAACACAUGCAAGUCGACUCGAGUCUUCGGACUUGGGUGGCGCACGGGUGAGUAACGCGUAAAGAACUUGCCUCUUAGUGGGGAAUAACCCGGAGAAAUCCGGACUAAUACCGCAUACACUUAGUUAUCCGUCAUGGAUGAUUAAGGAAAGAUUUAUUGCUAAGAGAUAGGCAUGCGUUCCAUUAGUUAGUUGGUGAGGUAACGGCUCACCAAGGCAUCGAUGGAUAGGGGAGCUGAGAGGCUUAUCCCCCACAUUGGGACUGAGACACGGCCCAA
rnacentral:rRNA from 1 species